AACAUGGUUUUUUAGGUAUUUUGCUCCUACCUAACUGCAUGGAAUACUGAGCACGAGAAAGCCAGAUACAGAUGAAGAUAUACCUUCACAGUCCUGAAUGGGACAUCAAGAUGAAUUUAAGUCAAAUCCUGAUGCAAAGGAUCUGAAUGUGUCUGUCUGGCCCGGAAGAUGUGGUCCAAGGUUUCUCAGCACAGAGAAGGUGGAGUUUCAAAUGCAGCUGUAAUGUACAAGAAGAGGGGCAGAGCUCUGAAGACCUGACAUGACCACAUCCUAUGACCACAUCUGCUGUGCGACCUCCUCAACUGCCAUCUUUUUGAAGCCUUCUCUUCAAGACAGAGACCCAAAGAAAUGCCACACACACAGCACCUGGAGCAGCCAAAGAGUUAAAUCACUUCCCAUCACCGUUUGUAUGGGAUACAGAAACAACUUUUCCUACUGCAUCCGCAGCUGCCAGCAGAACUCGGUGACAGCUUUAUAAAUCGCACCUGAAGCAAAUAAAAAUGCCACGUCCAGAAUGA